rnacentral:rRNA from 1 species
UACGUAGGUGGCAAGCGUUGUCCGGAUUUAUUGGGCGUAAAGCGCGCGCAGGUGGUUUCUUAAGUCAGUUGUGAAAGCCCCGGGCUCAACCCGGGAAGUGCUUCUGAUACUGUUUGGCUUGAGUACUAGAGAGGAUAGUAGAAUUCCAGGUGUAGUGGUGAAAUACGUAGAUAUCUGGAGGAAUACCGGUGGCGAAGGCGGCUAUCUGGCUAUGUACUGACGCUGAGACUCGAAAGCAUGGGGAGCAACAGG